ACAGCCAGAGGUGAGGUGACAAUAUUUCCCCCAAGGCAUUCUUAGUGUUGCACUCAUUUGCACAUAAGAAAACAGUAAGGAAGUAAGGAACGGCACUGAGGUUUGAAGGGAAGGGGUUUCAGAUGUCACCGAUCCAAAAAGCACCAAGAAUCAUACCGACACCUUAACAGUGGUAUGGACGGCAGUAGAUGUGGUUUACUCUGCAUUUUCAAAUCUAUGCAAAACAGAUUUGGAUGUCCUAAGGUAAAGAAGAGACUAGGUCACGUCAGGGUUUCUUGUCACCAAUUGUUCUCAGUUUCAUACGGAAGAGGAUUAGGGCCACUGAUGAAAAACGUAUGUGAGAUCUGAAUUUUUUUUCUCAGAAUUCUGACUAUAAUCUCAGAAUUUAAAAAAAAAAAGUCAAUUUAUGUGGGAUCUGAAUUUUUUUCUCAGAGUUCAGACUUUUUUUCUCAGAAUUCAGACUUUUUUAAAUUCUGAGAUUAAAGUCAGAAUUCUGAGGAAAAAAAGUCAGAACUCGCAUACAUUUUUCACCAGUGGCCCUAAUCCUCUUCCGUAGUUUCAGGAGAUUGGCUGGGGUCGGUGUUAUUUUAUUUUGAAUGUUACAUGGAAGCAGAUGUUCUACUAAAAUCUCCAGGCUUCUGCUCAUAGCUAUAGGACAUCCCCUGAGCCCUUCACAUUACACUUGCUCUUUACUAGGCAGUUACCAUUUGCCUUUUAACUUAACUUAAUUUAACGUAAAGGAGAACAUCUCUCUAAGAUGUGCAAUCAUUUGUGUGGCAGGUUUUUUUUUGUAGAGUUUGUGUUUUGGAGAGCAUUUUUUUUGUAUAGAUGACCGCCCUUCAUAAGUCAUAAUCCAUAACCAUGGCCAUUUGUUGGUGAAAUGUGAAGUGCAAUUUGUUAUUGGUCAGUAUUUUGUCUUAGGGAUUUAAGGGUGUGGCUGUUGCUUGGUUGAGAAGACUAUUUCAGCAUGACCUGCGAGAACUGUUCCCCAGAUUUGCACUACAGGAUAGAUAUGAAACGGAAUGAAGGGGCAGUAUUUGGAUGCUUUUGGUCAUGUAUAAUUUGCACUUCUUGUUCGUAGUUUCUAUUUGAAAUUAUA